UUUAAAUAUAUUUUAAAAUAUUUCAUACUCCAGUAAAGCCCUGAUUAUCAGCUAGAUCCCUCUAAGAGGAUCACAGCCUUGUUGUGGUUUGGAGGCUCACAAGCCUUCAUGACCCAGAGAGCUAUGUUGGCUGGAGUCAGGGAUUUAUGCUUUGGCUCUUGGUAGGAUCACCCAUGCCAAACAGGUCAGAAGGUAGUUGACAGACUAAGACUGGUCCGCCAGUCCUCCAGGUUUGGGUGAUCAGCUGAGGGCCAACAGUCCUGAAUGGUAAAACAAAAUUGUUACAGAAACAGCAAUGAAGAAUCUUUCCACAUCUGAAUGUGAUGGUAUUCCUGAGUCUCCACCCUGGACACACAUGACUGACAACAGUGAAAAUCAAGAGGAAGCUACUGACAUGAUGAAGGAGGCCUGAACCCCACCAAAGAUGGAGGACCUUCAUUGUUUCCUUAAAUGCUAGCAGCGUAAGUGGCAGUAGACUGUACACUGUGAAAGUCCGGUGGGUUUGUGCAAAUCCAAAGGAUAUGUGGGUCAGAUGAGCAAUGCACCUAAGCAACAAAUUGGAGAAAAUGUCGGAAAAAUCUGAAUCUUAUCAACGUACACAAGCAAAAGCAAACUAAUAUUUUAAUAUUAUCACCCAUGUUAUUUUUAAUUUUUUUCUUUUUUUAUUGCAAAAUGUAAGCAUCCAGAAUAGAUUAUAGUAUUAGCUGCUGAAUGCAUUAUGUUAAAACGUGGAGUGGCAUGAAUGCUAGGGUCUGUAACCUGGAAAUUUACAGCAUAGAAUGAUGUUGACAAAUGGAAGCCUAUAAAUAGAACUUGGCAAACCAGUGCAAGGUCAUACAAAUUCUUCAACCUCUAUCAAACAAAAACUCUGUUCACCAAAAUCUCCCUUUUUUUUUCUAAUCUAUAAAGGCUGGUGGCUGAGCACUAUUCUGCUUUUGAAGUUCUCCUUUUUUUCCAGCCCUUUAUACAGUAUUCCUAUCUCUGUAAUCUGUUCCAGUGCUGCAGGUUAUAUACACAACUUGGAUUAGAAUUCUGGCUUCUUUAUCAGUUGGAAAUUACCUUCACCUCCCAAAGACAUAAGACUAAAAAUUUCCUUCCUAAACAAUUCUUCUCUCUGUCUCUCUGUCUCUCUGUCCCAUUAGAUUUCCAUAGCCCACAUUUUUACCAAAUGUCUGAGCUCCUGCCCAAACAUCUUCUGUGAUUCUAGAUAAAUGUUGUUUGAUAGUGUACCUGUCCGACUUCUAAAGAUGUUCCAACUACAUUAAAAAUACAUAUUUAUUUCUUUUGCUGUUGGUUUCAUUUAU